UACGUAGGGUGCAAGCGUUGUCCGGAAUUAUUGGGCGUAAAGAGUUCGUAGGCGGUUUGUUGCGUCGGCUGUGAAAUCCCGAGGCUCAACCUCGGGUCUGCAGUCGAUACGAGCAAACUAGAGUGUUGCAGGGGAGACUGGAAUUCCUGGUGUAGCGGUGAAAUGCGCAGAUAUCAGGAGGAACACCGGUGGCGAAGGCGGGUCUCUGGGCAACAACUGACGCUGAGGAGCGAAAGCAUGGGGAGCGAACAGG
rnacentral:rRNA from 1 species